AUGACAGAUCUGCAGCACAACAUAAUACCAAUCCAAAGGCCAGAGUUUCAGAGCAGACUGGAUUUCAGGAAUUAUGAAAUGCUUGGAAAAGAGCACAUUAGAUUUCUUAUGAAGUGUGAUAUGGAUUUAUUGACUUUGCAGUGGCUUUCCUCCCACCCGCCUUUGAGUACUACCCUUACAUGGCUGUGAUUACGUGGACCUGGCAAAUGCCACAAUGAUCUAAGAAUGUGACACAUCCAGGAUUCCAUGCUGAG
rnacentral:lncRNA from 1 species